rnacentral:rRNA from 1 species
GUGCUUGCACCUUUCAAGCGAGUGGCGAACGGGUGAGUAACACGUGGAUAACCUGCCUCAAGGCUGGGGAUAACAUUUGGAAACAGAUGCUAAUACCGAAUAAAACUUAGUAUCGCAUGAUACAAAGUUGAAAGGCGCUACGGCGUCACCUAGAGAUGGGUCCGCGGUGCAUUAGUUAGUUGGUGGGGUAAAGGCCUACCAAGACAAUGAUGCAUAGCCGAGUUGAGAGACUGAUCGGCCACAUUGGGACUGAGACACGGCCCAAACUCCUACGGGAGGCUGCAGUAGGGAAUCUUCCACAAUGGGCGAAAGCCUGAUGGAGCAACGCCGCGUGUGUGAUGAAGGCUUUAGGGUCGUAAAGCACUGUUGUAUGGGAAGAAAUGCUAGAAUAGGGAAUGAUUCUAGUUCGACGGUACCAUACCAGAAAGGGACGGCUAAAUACGUGCCAGCAGCCGCGGUAAUACGUAUGUCCCGAGCGUUAUCCGGAUUUAUUGGGCGUAAAGCGAGCGCAGACGGUUGAUUAAGUCUGAUGUGAAAGCCCGGAGCUCAACUCCGGAAUGGCAUUGGAAACUGGUUAACUUGAGUGUUGUAGAGGUAAGUGGAACUCCAUGGGU